AGUGAACGCUGGCGGUAGGCCUAACACAUGCAAGUCGAACGGCAGCACAGUAAGAGCUUGCUCUUACGGGUGGCGAGUGGCGGACGGGUGAGGAAUACAUCGUAAUCUACUUUUUCGUGGGGGAUCACGUAGGGAAACUUACGCUAAUACCGCAUACGACCUACGGGUGAAAGCAGGGGAUCUUCGGACCUUGCGCGAUUGAAUGAGCCGAUGUCGGAUUAGCUAGUUGGCGGGGUAAAGGCCCACCAAGGCGACGAUCCGUAGCUGGUCUGAGAGGAUGAUCAGCCACACUGGAACUGAGACACGGUCCAGACUCCUACGGGAGGCAGCAGUGGGGAAUAUUGGACAAUGGGCGCAAGCCUGAUCCAGCCAUACCGCGUGGGUGAAGAAGGCCUUCGGGUUGUAAAGCCCUUUUGUUGGGAAAGAAAAGCAGCAGGUUAAUACCCCGCUGUUCUGACGGUACCCAAAGAAUAAGCACCGGCUAACUUCGUG
rnacentral:rRNA from 1 species